rnacentral:rRNA from 1 species
GAUGAACGCUGGCGGCGUGCCUAAUACAUGCAAGUCGAGCGAACAGAUGAGAAGCUUGCUUCUCUGAUGUUAGCGGCGGACGGGUGAGUAACACGUGGGUAACCUACCUAUAAGACUGGGAUAACUCCGGGAAACCGGGGCUAAUACCGGAUAAUAUUUUGAACCGCAUGGUUCAAUAGUGAAAGACGGUUUCGGCUGUCACUUAUAGAUGGACCCGCGCCGUAUGAGAUAGUUGGUAAGGUAACGGCUUACCAAGGCGACGAUACGGAGCCGACCUGAGAGGGUGAUCGGCCACACUGGAACUGAGACACGGUCCAGACUCCUACGGGAGGCAGCAGUAGGGAAUCUUCCGCAAUGGGCGAAAGCCUGACGGAGCAACGCCGCGUGAGUGAUGAAGGUCUUCGGAUCGUAAAACUCUGUUGUUAGGGAAGAACAAAUUUGUUAGUAACUGAACAAGUCUUGACGGUACCUAACCAGAAAGCCACGGCUAACUACGUGCCAGCAGCCGCCGUAA